AGUGCAUACGACGGAUGCCUUGGCAUUAGAAGGCGAUGAAGGACGUGAUAAUCUGCGAUAAGCUUCGGUUAGCUGAUAAAUAAGCUUUAACCCGGAGAUCUCCGAAUGGGAAAACCCAGUGGUCAUCAGACCAUUAUCCUUAACUGAAUACAUAGGUUAAGGAGGCAAACCUAGGGAACUGAAACAUCUAAGUACCUAGAGGAAAAGAAAUCAACCGAGAUUCCCUUAGUAGCGGCGAGCGAACGGGGAACAGCCCUUAAGCAUAUUUUAAAUUACUAGAAUGAACUGGAAAGUUCAACGAUACAGGGUGAUAGUCCCGUAUAGGAAAAUUUAAUUUAUGUGAAAUCGAGUAAGGCGGCGCACGUGAAACGCUGUUUGAAUAUGGGGGGACCACCCUCCAAGGCUAAAUACUCUCUAAUGACCGAUAGUGAACAAGUACCGUGAGGGAAAGGCGAAAAGAACCCCGGGAGGGGAGUGAAAUAGAACCUGAAAUCGUAUGCAUACAAGCAGUAGGAGCGGAUUUAUUCCGUGACUGCGUACCUUUUGUAUAAUGGGUCAGCGACUUACUUCUCAGUUGCAAGGUUAACCAGUAGGGGAGCCGUAGGGAAACCGAGUCUUAAAUGGGCGAUUAGUAGCUGGGAGUAGACCCGAAACCGGGUGAUCUAUCCAUGGCCAGGGUGAAGGUUAGGUAAAACUAACUGGAGGCCCGAACCCACUUAUGUUGAAAAAUGAGGGGAUGAGCUGUGGAUAGGGGUGAAAGGCCAAACAAACCCGGAGAUAGCUGGUUCUCUCCGAAAUCUAUUUAGGUAGAGCCUCAUGUAUUACUUCAGGGGGUAGAGCACUGUUAUGGCUAGCGGGUCGUCAAGACUUAGUAAACCAUUGCAAACUCCGAAUACCUGAAAGUAUAAGCAUGGGAGACACACUGCGGGUGCUAACGUCCGUAGUGGAAAGGGAAACAACCCAGACCGUCAGCUAAGGUCCCAAAAUUGUAGUUAAGUGGGAAACGAUGUGAAAAGGCCCAGACAGCCAGGAGGUUGGCUUAGAAGCAGCCAUUCCUUUAAAGAGUGCGUAAUAGCUCACUGGUCGAGUCGGUUUGCGCGGAAGAUUUAACGGGGCUAAAACUACAUACCGAAGCUACGGAUCAUAAUUUAUUAUGAUGGUAGGAGAGCGUUCUGUAAGCCGUUGAAGGUGUCCUGUGAGGGAUGCUGGAGGUAUCAGAAGUGCGAAUGCUGACAUGAGUAACGAUAAAGGGGGUGAAAAACCCCCUCGCCAGAAGUCCAAGGUUUCCUACGCAACGUUAAUCGGCGUAGGGUUAGUCGGCCCCUAAGGCGAGGCAGAAAUGCGUAGUCGAUGGGAAACAGGUUAAUAUUCCUGUACUUCAUAUAACUGCGAUGGGAAGACGGAGAAGGUUAGCUCAGCAAGGCGAUGGUUGUCCUUGUUCAAGCGUGUAGAAAUGGUUCUUAGGAAAAUCCGGGAACCUCUAUUUCAAGGCGUGAUAACGAGCCCUCUUUUGGGCGAAGUGAGUGAUACCAUGCUUCCAGGAAAAUCCUCUAAGCUAUAGGUUAUAUGAAACCGUACCCCAAACCGACACAGGUGGACGAGAUGAGAAUUCUAAGGCGCUUGAGAGAACUCGGGUGAAGGAACUAGGCAAAAUGACACCGUAACUUCGGGAGAAGGUGUGCUCUUUGUAGGUGAAAUCACUAGCUGAUGAAGCUGAAAAGAGUUGAAGAAACCAGGUGGCUCCGACUGUUUAUUAAAAACACAGCACUCUGCAAACACGUAAGUGGACGUAUAGGGUGUGACGCCUGCCCGGUGCUUGAAGGUUAAUUGAUGAGGUUAGGAUUUAUCCGAAGCUUUUGAUCGAAGCCCAAGUAAACGGCGGCCGUAACUAUAACGGUCCUAAGGUAGCGAAAUUCCUUGUCGGGUAAGUUCCGACCUGCACGAAUGGCGUAACGAGGGCCACACUGUCUCCACCCGAGACUCAGUGAAAUUGAAAUUGCUGUUAAGAUGCAGUAUACCCGCGGCCAGACGGAAAGACCCCGUGCACCUUUACUACAGCUUUGCAUUGAACUCUGAUCCUACCUGUGUAGGAUAGGUGGGAGACUUUGAAACUUUAACGCUAGUUAGAGUGGAGUCAUCCUUGAAAUACCACCCUGGUAUGGUUGGGGUUCUAACCUUGGUCCGUUAUCCGGAUUGGGGACAAUGCAUGGUGGGUAGUUUGACUGGGGCGGUCUCCUCCCAAAGAGU
rnacentral:rRNA from 1 species